GACAGAGGUGCCAAGCGUUAGGCGGAAUCACUGGGCUUAAAGCGUGUGUAGGCGGAAUGGUAAGUACCUUGUGAAAUCCCACGGCUUAACCGUGGAACUGCUUGGUAUACUGGUUCUCUUGGGCCAUCUAGGGGCUAGCGGAACAAACGGUGGAGCGGUGAAAUGCGUAGAUAUCGUUUGGAACGCCAAUGGUGAAAACAGCUAGCUGGGGAUGUGCCGACGCUGAGACACGAAAGCCAGGGGAGCGAACGGG
rnacentral:rRNA from 1 species